GAGUUUGAUCGUGGCUCAGAGCGAACGCUGGCGGCAGGCCUAACACAUGCAAGUCGAGCGGCCGUAGCAAUACGGCAGCGGCAGACGGGAGAGUAACACGUGGGAACGCGCCCUUCGGUUCGGAAUAACUCAGGGAAACUUGAGCUAAUACCGGAUACGCCCUUACGGGGAAAGAUUUAUUGCCGAAGGAACGGCCCGCGUCCGAUUAGCUAGUUGGUGAGGUAAUGGCUCACCAAGGCGACGAUCGGUAGCUGGUCUGAGAGGAUGACCAGCCUCACUGGGACUGAGACACGGCCCAGACUCCUACGGGAGGCAGCAGUGGGGAAUAUUGGACAAUGGGCGCAAGCCUGAUCCAGCCAUGCCGCGUGGAUGAUGAAGGCCCUAGGGUUGUAAAGUCCUUUUAACGGGGAAGAUAAUGACGGUACCCGUAGAAUAAGCCCCGGCUAACUUCGUGCCAGCAGCCGCGGU
rnacentral:rRNA from 1 species